rnacentral:rRNA from 1 species
UUAAAGAGUUCUAUAACUCCCAAACCCAUGUGAACAUACCUAACGUUGCCUCGGCAGGUCGCACCUACCUUGUAGCACCCUACCCUGUAGGGCCUACCCGGGAGGUGCGGGUAAGCCUGCCGGCGGCCCACCAAACUCUGUUUGAUAUUGAAUUCUGAACCUAUAACUAAAUAAGUUAAAACUUUCAACAACGGAUCUCUUGGUUCUGGCAUCGAUGAAGAACGCAGCGAAAUGCGAUAAGUAAUGUGAAUUGCAGAAUUCAGUGAAUCAUCGAAUCUUUGAACGCAUAUUGCGCCCAUUAGUAUUCUAGUGGGCAGGACCGUUCGAGCGUCAUUUCAACCCUUAAGCCUUCGUUGCUUAGUGUUGGGAGCCUACGGCAACGUAGCUCCUCAAAGUUAGUGGCGGAGUUGGUUCACACUCUAGACGUAGUAAUUUUUUAUCUCGCCUAUUAGUUGGACUAAUCCCCUGCCGUAAAACCCCCAAUUUAUCAAGGUUGACCUCGAAUCGGUUCAGACAAACUCGCUAAAUUGAAGCAUCUUAGUCAGCGAAGGAAAA